UACGUAGGGUGCGAGCGUUAAUCGGAAUUACUGGGCGUAAAGCGUGCGCAGGCGGCUUUGCAAGACAGAGGUGAAAUCCCCGGGCUCAACCUGGGAACUGCCUUUGUGACUGCAAGGCUAGAGUACGGCAGAGGGGGAUGGAAUUCCGCGUGUAGCAGUGAAAUGCGUAGAUAUGCGGAGGAACACCGAUGGCGAAGGCAAUCCCCCUGGGCCUGUACUGACGCUCAUGCACGAAAGCGUGGGGGAGCAAACAGGAUUAGAUACCCUGGUAGUCCACGCCCUAAACGAUGUCAACUGGUUGUUGGACGGCUUGCUGUUCAGUAACGAAGCUAACGCGUGAAGUUGACAGCCUGGGGAGUACGGCCGCAAGGUUGAAACUCA
rnacentral:rRNA from 1 species